rnacentral:rRNA from 1 species
UACGUAGGGGGCAAGCGUUGUCCGGAAUCAUUGGGCGUAAAGCGCGUGUAGGCGGUUCGGUAAGUCGGCUGUGAAAGUCCAGGGCUCAACCCUGGGAUGCCGGUCGAUACUGCCGGACUAGAGUUCGGAAGAGGCGAGUGGAAUUCCCGGUGUAGCGGUGAAAUGCGCAGAUAUCGGGAGGAACACCAAUGGCGAAGGCAGCUCGCUGGGACGUUACUGACGCUG